UAUUCUCCCCACUUCCCUACCAUGGCCCAGACAUUUCUCCUCCUCUUUCUCUUCACUUGCUGCACUGGCACCUUCGCCCAGGCUGUCUUGACUCAGCCGCCCUCCGCAUCAGCAUCCUCCGGAGGAACAGUCAAGAUCUCCUGUACCAGGAGCAGCGGAAGCAUUACAAGUAACCACGUAUCCUGGUACCAACAGAAACCUGGUGGUGCCCCCAGACUGAUAAUAUAUAGCUUCAGCAGCAGACCCACUGGAAUUCCAGAGCAAUUCUCUGGUUCAACAGACAGCUCGUCCAACUCUGCCAUCUUAACCAUCUCUGGGGUUCAAGCAGAAGAUGAGGCUGAUUAUUACUGUUUCUCUUAUGUUGGCAAUAACCACUAUGUAUAUGGGGUGGUGGGUACCAGAGAUACCAUUGUUUUCUCUGGCAAGGCUGGAGACUUACUGUGA